UACAGAGGUCUCAAGCGUUGUUCGGAUUCCUUGGGCGUAAAGGGCGCGUAGGCUGCGGGGUAAGUCGGGUGUGAAAUCUCAGAGCUCAACUCUGAAACUGCACUCGAUACUGCUUUGCUUGAGGACUGGAGAGGAGAUUGGAAUUCACGGUGUAGCAGUGAAAUGCGUAGAUAUCGUGAGGAAGACCAGUGGCGAAGGCGGAUCUCUGGACAGUUCCUGACGCUGAGGCGCGAAGGCCAGGGGAGCAAACGGG
rnacentral:rRNA from 1 species